GGAUAAUCUACCCGUGGGUCUGGGAUAACUCCGGGAAACCGGGGCUAAUACCGGAUAAGACCACGGGACCUUCGGGUCUUGCGGAAAAAGGUGGCCUCUUCUUGAAAGCUACCGCCCAUUGAUGAGUCCGCGUCCCAUUAGCUUGUUGGUGAGGUAAGAGCUCACCAAGGCUUCGAUGGGUAGCUGGUCUGAGAGGAUGAUCAGCCACACUGGAACUGAGACACGGUCCAGACUCCUGCGGGAGGCAGCAGUCGGGAAUUUUGGGCAAUGGGGGAAACCCUGACCCAGCAACGCCGCGUGAGGGAUGAAGGCCUUCGGGUCGUAAACCUCUGUCGGAAGGGAAGAAAGGUGUCCGCUCCAAUACAGCGGGGGCUUGACGGUACCUUCAAAGGAAGCACCGGCUAACUCCGUGCCAGCAGCCGCGGUAAUACGGAGGGUGCAAGCGUUGUUCGGAAUUACUGGGCGUAAAGCGCGUGUAGGCGGCUUGGCAAGUCGAGUGUGAAAUCCCAGGGCUCAACCCUGGAACUGCACCCGAAACUGCUUCGCUUGAGUCCCGGAGAGGGUGGCGGAAUUUCCGGUGUAGAGGUGAAAUGCGUAGAGACUAGGAGGAACACCAGUGGCGAAGGCGGCUUUCUGGACGAUAACUGACGCUGAGGCGCGAAAGCGUGGGGAGCAAACAGGAUUAGAUACCCUGGUAGUCCACGCUGUAAACGAUGGAUACUAGGUGUAGGAGGUAUCGACCCCUUCUGUGCCGGAGUUAACACAAUAAGUAUCCCACCUGGGGAGUACGAUCGCAAGAUUGAAACUCAAAGGAAUUGACGGGGGCCCGCACAAGCAGUGGAGUAUGUGGUUUAAUUCGAAGCAACGCGAAGAAUCUUACCAGGUCUUGACAUCCCUUGACGAUAAUAGAGAUAUUAUUUUCUUUCGGGACAAGGAGACAGGUGGUGCAUGGUUGUCGUCAGCUCGUGUCGUGAGAUGUUGGGUUAAGUCCCGCAACGAGCGCAACCCUUAUUGUUAGUUGCCAGCAAGUGAAGUUGGGCACUCUAGCGAGACUGCCGGCGAUAAGUCGGAGGAAGGUGGGGACGACGUCAAAUCAUCAUGCCCCUUAUGACCUGGGCUACACACGUACUACAAUGGCCGUUACAGAGGGCAGCGAAACCGCGAGGUGGAGCAAAUCCCCAAAGGCGGCCCCAGUUCGGAUUGCAGGCUGAAACUCGCCUGCAUGAAGUCGGAAUUGCUAGUAAUGGUAGGUCAGCAUACUACCGUGAAUACGUUCCCGGGCCUUGUACACACCGCCCGUCACACCAUGAGAGUUGGUAAUACCCGAAGUCAGUAGUUUAACCGUAAGGAGGACGCUGCCGAAGGUAGGGCCGAUGAUUAGGGUGAAGUCGG
rnacentral:rRNA from 1 species